UACGUAGGGGGCAAGCGUUGUCCGGAUUUAUUGGGCGUAAAGAGCUCGUAGGUGGUUCGGUAAGUCGGAUGUGAAAUCUCCAGGCUCAACCUGGAGGGGUCAUUCGAUACUGCCGUGACUAGAGUUCGGUAGGGGAGUGUGGAAUUCCUGGUGGAGCGGUGAAAUGCGCAGAUAUCAGGAGGAACACCGGUGGCGAAGGCGGGACUCUGGGCCGAUACUGACGCUGAGGAGCGAAAGCGUGGGGAGCAAACAGG
rnacentral:rRNA from 1 species